rnacentral:tRNA from 1 species
GCGAGUGUAGUUCAAUGGCAGAACUUCAGCCUUCCAAGCUGAUAACGUGGGUUCGAUUCUCAUCACCGCUCCA